rnacentral:rRNA from 1 species
CCUACGGGUGGCAGCAGUGAGGAAUAUUGGUCAAUGGGCGCAAGCCUGAACCAGCCAAGUCGCGUGAGGGAUUAAGGCCCUGCGGGUCGUAAACCUCUUUUGCCGGGGAGCAGAGCUCCGUACGUGUCCCGGCCGGACGAGUACCCGGAGAAAAAGCAUCGGCUAACUCCGUGCCAGCAGCCGCGUUAAAACGGGGAAUGCGAGCGUUAUCCGAAUUUAUUGGGUUUAAAGGGUGCGUAGGCGGAAGAUCAGUUCAGCGGGAAAUAUUCGGGGCUCAACCCCGUCGUGCCGGUGAUACUGAUGUUCUUGAGUGGGCGAGAAGUAUGCGGAAUGCGUGGUGUAGCGGUGAAAUGCAUAGAUAUCACGCAGAACACCGAUUGGGAAGGCAGCAUACC